CCCGCUGAACUUAAGCAUAUCAAUAAGCGGAGGAAAAGAAACUAACAAGGAUUCCCCUAGUAACUGCGAGUGAAGAGGGAAAAGCUCAAAUUUGAAAUCUGGCAGGUCUUGUAUCUGUCCGAGUUGUAGUUUAGAGAAGUGCUAUCCGCGUCGGGCCUGUGCAUAAGUUUCUUGGAACAGAACAUCAUGGAGGGUGAUAAUCCCGUCUUUGGCACAGUGUCACCGGGGCUUUUGUGAUGCACCCUCGAAGAGUCGAGUUGUUUGGGAAUGCAGCUCUAAAUGGGUGGUAAAUUCCAUCUAAAGCUAAAUAUUGGCGAGAGACCGAUAGCGAACAAGUACCGUGAGGGAAAGAUGAAAAGAACUUUGAAAAGAGAGUUAAACAGUACGUGAAAUUGUUGAAAGGGAAACGCUUGAAGUCAGACACGUCUUGCAGAGAUCAACUUGACCUUGUGUUGAGUGUAUCCUCCGUCGAGAUGGGUCAGCAUCAAUUUUGAUUGCUGGAUAAAGGUCUUGGGAAUGUGGCAUCUUUCGGGAUGUGUUAUAGCCCAUUUCUUAUACAGUGGUUGGGAUUGAGGAACUCAGUGUGCUUUGGGGCUUUUUGCCUACAUUUACACGCUUAGGAUGCUGGCAUAAUGGCUUUAAUCGACCCGUCUUGAAACACGG
rnacentral:rRNA from 1 species